rnacentral:ribozyme from 1 species
UUUUUUUUUUUUUUUUUUUUUUUUUUUUUUUUUUUUCUUCU